CUCUCUCUCAUCAAUCUCUCAAGCCCUGAAGCCCCCACACAUAAAAAGAGCUCGAAGCCACCCAAGGAAACGAAAGGAAGCCAACCCAAGACACAAAGCCCCAAAACGUACGGCACGAUCGCUCGCUUCCUCCCGGGCGGAGGCAAACGCUUCGCCCUCGCUCCCCGUUGGGUUGUGUGUUUUUUCAGUAGCUUCGAAGCCCCGCAGCCCAAGAAGAAACCCGCGCCGCCGGGCAUGGGCAUGCGUCACCCGGACGAAGAAGAGGAGCCCCCGUCGCCGCGGCCAUCCGCCUCCGCCGGCUGCUACGCCUUCCUCCGCCGCGGCGGCCAUGGCAGCACCACCGGGUACCGGCGGCUGGAGUCCUCCACGUCCGUGGUGAGGGUGGAGGUGGGGAAGGCGAGGAGCGUGUACCACGUGGACGCGGCGGUGCUGGAGGCGGAGCCGGUGCGGCGGCUGCUGGCGGCGGCCGGGCGGCGGGGCCCCGGCGCGGCGGUGGUGGCGGUGGCCGUCGACGCCUUGCUGUUCGAGCACCUCCUCUGGCUGGCCGAUGACGGCGGGGUGGGUGGGUCCGCCGCCGGUGUCGACGCCGCUGACCUGUCGGAGAUCGUCGAGUUCUACUCCCAGGACGACGAGGAUCCGUAAGACCACCAAGGCGCCCUGAAACGCUAAGCUCUUCUUCGCGAUUCGAUUCGCUCAAUUUAACCUUCUUAAUUCGAAUCGAAGGUGCACACCAUAGCUAGCUAGCUAGUUCUCGAUCCUUACAGAUAUUUGUGCAUGAGCUAGCAACAUGACUACAACAUGUAUCUGAUGAAGUUAAUCGAUCGAUCGAUUUGGUUGAUACUCCGGUGAUAAGAUUUGUGUUGUCGUCGUCGUCGUGUUCGUGUGCCAUGGUUCCGAGCGUCGGUGUAGAGACGCUACAUAUGGAGCGCAACAGCUCACCUGUAGCGUGUGCAUUAGUUUGAUCUGACCU